CGGAUAAGUGCUCUAAAACAAAAUAUGGUAUCACUAUUGUUUACCAUUUAAUAAUUGUUUUGAUGAAAUUUAAAUAACAAAAUAUUUGGAUAACAACCGAGAAAAAGGCCAUUUGCAUAGAUGGAUUGGUCAAUAAUUCGUGUUUGCCUGGAGGAUAAACGUAAAGAUAGUCAAUAUUGCGGAAUCCAUUGGCCAUUCAGUUGAGGAGGAGGAUCCCUCACCCCGAAACCAUUUGCUUGUCCUGCGAAAAGGAUCCACCAGUCGUUCUCCUCCAUUAAAGAUUUACGGCAAAAGGAAAAAUCACAUGGACACCAAAAAACCCAGCAGUUUAAAUAAGUCCGAUUCCCAAGCAAGGAUCGAGGGGACAGAAUUUGAUUGGAGAUGAUAUAGAUGAUGAUAUAGACGAAAGUCCGGAGACUCAUCCAACGAAAUCACGAAAAAGGACCUUUGAAUUUUUCGCAAUGCUUGAAGAGUUUGACCCCGAGUUCUCAUCUACAAAUAGACUUUCAAACCCACGCAGUAGAUCGACUAUAUAGAUGUUCCCUAUGCCCGAAGAGAAUAAGCAGGGGCUCAGAUAUUGAAAAUCACACAUACUGUUUCCAAUGCUUGACCAGUUCUACCCAGAUUUCUAAUCUUGAGAGACACUUGCGAACUUACACAGAAAAACGACCAUUCAAAUGUAUCCAAAGCUCGAAAUUACUUAACUAUAGUUCAAAUCUUAAGGAUCAUUUGCUAACCCACGCAUUGGAAUCCCAUUUCAAGUGUUACAAAUUGAUAAUUUAAUUCAAAACAUAAAAGGAACAUCUAACAUUGAAGUUUUAAAGAAAUUUAGUCAUAUUUGUAUUUGUCAAUACAAUUUAGUCAAAAGUUUCUAUUCAUAAUUGCUUAUUUCUUAAAUAAUAUACUUUGUAAUAGAUUUGAGAGAGAAUUUGGAAAUGUUGUUUUUAAAUUGAUAAAAAUUUUGAUGUAACCUUAAUUGAAAACAGAUUUUCUGUAUAUUUUGAUGUAUGUAUAUUUAUUGAUCUUCCUACAUAUAAAUUUAAAAACAACUAAGUUAUUACGAUGUCCUCAUUUGUUUCUCAAUCACUUUUAUUAUUUCUUUCUAUUUCGAUUCCGACAUAUGUAUUUCUUGCAAUCAAAAGGAUACUUUUGGUACAGUUUCAUUUUAACUGAGACUGAUUAAAUUAAACUAAACUCAUAUUUAUUUUGGUUUUAAAAGUAUCCAAUAAAGAAAUGCUAAGUCAAUCAAAUGUUUCUUGAUUUCAUACAUAUAUUUAUAAUUUAACCCACAUUUUAAACUUACUAAGUUAACAUUUAAAUACUUUUGAAAGUAUUAUCCAAAUUCGAAACAUGUUAAUUACUAAGAAGUUUUUCACAUCCAACUCGAUAAAAUUCAUGUAACAAUAGUUUUACUCUUAAUGACUACUUUUUUUCGGUGUACGCUUUGAACACGCGCACAAUUAAUCCAAUUGCAAAUGAAAAUAAAUAGAAAUGGGGAUCACUUGAAUUAACAAUCCGGCCAGGAUGAUGAUGAAUGAGCGGGAGGAUGCGGUGGACGAGGAUCAUAAAAGCGACAGCUUCCUUCCCAUUGUGUCGAGGACAAAAGCGCCGAAAUUGAAUUUAAUGAAAAGCGAAAGCAAAACAAAACGGAGGAAUAGCAAAAAAAAAAAAUAAAUAAAAGUACGAGGAAGCGGGGCAAGGAUCACCCACUUCCGUUUGCCGGCAGGUAAAUCCAGUGCCCUACAGGUAGCUGCUUUGCAUAUUCCCAAUCGACGGAUCCCGAACCCCGAAUCCCGAGUCCCAAAUCCUGGCAUCCUGCACACUUCCGCAGGAAGCGUGUGAAUUAAAUGGUUAAAGGGACAGUAGACCCAUUCACUUUCCCUGCAAAAAGUGUCUAAUGCGCCUAAAAAUUACAAAUAUUGUUGAAAUCUAUAUGUGAUAUUAAAAGUGAAAUGCUUAAAACUAGUUUUUAAAAUUACAUUCUUAUAAUAUCAAAUAUCAAUCUGGUACGAAAUAACUCUUUUUCUCUACGAAAAUUUGUUUAAAAAAGUAAUGAAUUUUUUUUUGGUAUUUUA